ACACCAUACGACGGUUAACGGCUUCAGUGAGCUUGGGCUGCCUGCGCUUGCGCCAGGGUGGCUGGCUCCACCCUAACGGCGACUGGCUCCCAAGAGGCUGGUUGCCGCUUACUGGACAGAGCCGCAGAGAACUGGUUUUUCCACAGCCAAGAAUACGAAUGUCUGUCAAAGUUUAUUAAAAACAAGCAUCACCAUGGUCCCUUUUGUUUUUUCUUUCCUCCUCGUUGCAUACCUGUGGCUGCUUAAUUCUUCCCCUUCUAACAAAGUGCUGGAUCCGGGACUCUAAGCCUUCACAUCUAGGACGAUCCAGUAAUGGCUUAUAGGUUCGUGUUUUCACUCCCUCUACAAAGGCACUAAUCUGCUUCUGGAUGCAAGGUUUGACAUCUUUCCACUGGAUCACUUCAUUUCUUUUUGAUCCUGUACAAUUAGCAAGUAUAUGAAUAUUAACACAGUGCAACUUUUAAUGUUUUUAAUAAUCUACCUCCACCCGGUAUAAGUUCUUUUUUUUUUCCAUGCAUUGUUCUCACAUACCUGACCCAGGAUAUAUAGCCACAGAGUCCAGUCCCUGUAGCAUGCUGUAUAACAUGUGAGUUUUAACUGCAUAACUAGCCCACAGUUGCUGCAAGUGUGUUACAUUGAACUCCUGAACCUCCCGGUCAUAGAUCCAUUUGAUGUUCUCAAAUUUACAAUCAUAUAGAACUAAAGGAAAUUCCACUGCCAUGCUGCAAAGAGACAAGACCAUUCAUUUCUUCAGUUCCCUAUAAAAAUUAAUAGUGUUUAUUAAGUGCCCACUGCAAUGCAGAGUGCUUUCUUGGAUGCUGAGAAACAUGCCAAUUAAUUAAAUUUAUUCUGUGUCCUUUAAGUAUUUUACAAUUAAAACAGAAAUAAACCAUUUGGGGGGGGGGGUGGCAUUUUAGAUUUGAUGUACAUUAAAAAGAAAGAAAAUCCAGUAUUCACUACCCCAGAUUAUGUAAAAAUUAAUUAAUGGGACAGGUAGAUGAUUCAGUAGAUUGAGAGCCAGGCCUAGAGAUGGAAGGUCCUGGGUUCAAAUAUGGACCAAUAUACUUCCUACCUGUGAGACCCAUAACUGUGGACAAGUCACUUAAUCCCCAUAGCCUAAUCCGUACCAUUCUUCUGCCUUGGAGUGAAUACACAGUAUUCUAAGAUGGAAGAUAGGGUUGGUUUUUUUUUUUUUCAACAAGUAGAGUUAACACCACAGGAGCUAACUUUUUAAAAACUUAGUUUAAAACACACACAUGUUCACAUUUUAUACUGUUAUUUGAAAUCUAGCUAUAUACAAGCUGGCCAGAAGGUGGAGUUGUACAUGCCCAAUCAGAGAGCCUAGAGUUUGCUCUGAAAAUAAGGAAUCUAUUUUCCCAUGACUAACAAUUAGGAAGUACACAUUAGAAAAGGUAUUAAAAGAGGGAUGGUAGCACAAUAUAAAUAAAAUCCAUAAAAAUAGCUAGUGAAAAUAAGAAGGGAAUUACCCAAGUAAAAAGAAGUUUACACUAAAAUUGUUAGAAUUUUCCAUUACCUGUACUGUGGUUUCUGGGGAUUUUUUUCUAUAUUCAGCAAUUCAUCAAUGAUUUCUGCUUUCUCCAUUCUCUGGCCAAUCAGAAAGAGAAUGGCCAUCAUACAGCGUACUUGAUGGUAAAGAAAUGCCUGCCCAAUUACUUCAAAUUGACACAACUGGAAUGAUUCCUGCUGCUGAAGUUUCUCUUCUGGGCUGCCAAAGGCCACAAGCUGUACUUUAGCAGACAGGAUAGUCCUCUGGAAAUUUAUCACACCAUUGGCCACAUCCAUUUUACACAAGUUCCUGAAAUCAUGAGUACCAACAUAUUUCUGGGCUGCAUCAUUCAUGGCUUCAAUAUCUAGAUUAGCACAGGGGAAAAAGUAGCGAUAAGUCCGUUCAAGGCAGCUAAACCGAGCACUAAAGCUGGAUUCUACAGUAGCCCAAGCCAGCACUCGAAUGUCUGGAGGGAGCACUCGAUUGAGAAUAUGGGUAUAGCAAAUCUCUUCAACAGAGUCGUUAACUGUAUCUUUCAAAUUUUUAUCUUCUGGGUCCUUGUCCCUUGGAAGUUGGGAGCGAAGGUUAAGAGAAAUCACCUAUGAAAUUUAGGAAAAGAUCCAUUUUACUUUUACUUUACAAUUAGCCUGACUGCACAGCAAACACACUCCAGCACCCCCAACAUCUUGCAAGGGUUAGAAAAAAAAAUUCUGCUACUGACCUGACCAAAGGCACUAACUCCUUUGUCUGUUCGUCCACAUCGAUGAUAGUUAGAUGUCUGUCUGCUUUCUACUAACCGAGUCUUGGUUAAUGCCUCAAAUAGUUUUUCUUCAAUGGUAUUGUUUGUGUUUUCUUGACUGGCAAAACCCUGGUAUCCCCAACCCAAAUAAGCUAUCUUUAAAGCUACAUGUCUUUGGCCAUAUGCACUGAAGUCAAAAGCACGCUGUUGCCGUUUCUUUGGUUUCCCAACUUCAGUGGAACUGUCUCCUUUAAUGUUUGGGCUCCUCUUGUUAGCCUGUUCCUGUUGGAGCCUCUGUACCUCUCUCUCCAAUUCUUGUAUUCUCUUCAGGAGUGUCUCAGUCUGAUUUGUCUCUAUGUUUCCUUCCAUCAUGGAUGCCUCAAGUGUAAAAAAAGUAGUUUCUCUCUGCCUUAAAUAAGAAUUUAGAAACAAAGCACUUCAUGUUGAUUGUUGUGAUGAUUAUAUCACAGUUAUUACUACAUACAUACUUGCAAAAAUAUCCUCGGGUUUCAUUAGCUUCUUUUUUUUUUUU